rnacentral:lncRNA from 1 species
GACUGAGGCGAGGGCUGCGGGACAAUCACGCUCGGCCUUCUCCUCUCCCGGGCGGCGCUCUCCCUGUGGCGGGGACCUGGGACGAGGGGGUGGGGUGGGGAGGGGAAGGCAGGAGGGGGCUGCCCUUCCGUUGCCCAUGCUAAAGGUUCCUGUGUAGGAAGCUGGACGCAGCCUGCUGGACUAGUAAUCUUCCUCCUCGCUGGGGCGCGGGGCACUGAAGGGAGGGAGAGACUUUCUCCUCCUUCCUGUUCCCCGGGACAGCUGUGCUCUCCGAAUCCUUCCCUUCUUCCCAGCCCACUUAUUCCCCGCUCGCCAAGGCACGUUUGCACAGGCAUUUUUCCUGCUCUUUUUUCUGGGAGGGCAGCUUGGUAGAAUGGUCGGCGGAGCUGGGCGAGGAGAGGGGUCUUCAGAAGGUUUGCUUUCUUGCUCUUGCUUCUCACUGGCCGCUGGGCUGUCCACUUUCCGCGCCGGGCGACUGGCAACAGGAGGCCAUGGAUUUCCCCCAACGACAUCUUCAACUAAAGAUGUCAAAGCACAAGCUCACUUCCCACGGAAGGUAGCAAUUACUAUUAUCUACUUGACAGCUACAAGAACCUAGGCACAGAGGUUAAGUGCUCUGCAAAUACUACCAGCCAGUGGUGGUUUUCCUGCCAGAACCAAGUUCUUGCCUUCCAGUGGACACCAUUGAUCUCUCAAGAUGAUUCUUUAAGUUAAAAAGCACGAAUCACAAAGGGCCUCAAAACCACAUUAAAAUUUAAGAUUGAUCUGCUCUUCUGCUUCUGAAUGUGAGAGCCUAUACUGGAUCUCUGAAGAAAAUAAAGAUGAGAUGAGGUUCUGAUCCCUUGGACUUCAUGAAGUUACGUGACAGAAAGUAUGAUUGUCUAGCCGAUACUUGACUGUGUGAAACCUUCAUCUACUCCGGAAUCCUGAGGCACAGACUCAGAGGCCCUCUGACUCACGAUUAGGGUUGUCAGGGUGAUGCAACAGCAAGACCAUAGCCUUUGGUGUCGGAAUACCAAGUUUUGAAGCUCAGUUUCCCCACUCACUAAUUUUCAGUGAGCACAUACAUAAUUUGAAAUCUGAAAAUGGACAAUAAUGCCUACCUACUUCAAAAUUUGGUUUGAGAAUCAAGUGAAAUAUUAAUAUAUAUGUAAGC